AACGUAGGAGACAAACGUUAUCCGGAGUUACUGGGCGUAAAGGGCGUGUAGGUGGUAGUGUAAGUCUGGCGUGAAAUUUUUCGGCUUAACCGGGAAAGGUCGUCGGAUACUGCACAACUAGAGGACGGUAGAGGCGUGUGGAAUUCCGGGUGUAGUGGUGAAAUGCGUAGAGAUCCGGAGGAACACCAGUGGCGAAGGCGACACGCUGGGCCGUACCUGACACUGAUGCGCGACAGCAUGGGGAGCAAACGGG
rnacentral:rRNA from 1 species